GGAGGGAUGGCCGAGUGGUUUAAGGCGUCCCGUCGAAGCGGGAUGGGUGAAAGCCCCGUGGGUUCGGCGACCGGAGGGAGGCGGAAGGAGCGUAAGCGAUUGAGCACAUCCUACUCCCUCCU
rnacentral:tRNA from 1 species